GCAAGCGUUGUUCGGAAUUACUGGGCGUAAAGGGCUCGUAGGCGGCCAACUAAGUCGGAUGUGAAAUCCCCAGGCUUAACCUGGGAACUGCAUCCGAUACUGGAUGGCUUGAAUCCGGGAGAGGGAUGCAGAAUUCCAGGUGUAGCGGUGAAAUGCGUAGAUAUCUGGAGGAAUGCCGGUGGCGAAGGCGGCAUCCUGGACCGGCAUUGACGCUGAUGAGCGAAAGCUAGGGGAGCAAACGGG
rnacentral:rRNA from 1 species